CGCUCCGUUACCCAGUUGUUCUUUAGUUAUUUUCCUUCUUCGCGUAUAGACCUCGUCUCGUGAUUUCUGUCACCAGACGGUCUUUAGAUACAGUUCUCUUAAUAAAAUACUCACGUAAAUUACACGGAUUCACCAAAUUUUGCCGCCAAGAAAAGGUCGUGUACCUUGGCACGAUUCAUGAUGGUGCCUCGAACAAAUCAAUGAAGUGAGUCCCGAUCUGGGUCGCUGGGCGGACAUCUUCGAGAGAACGAUAGUGAUAUGUAUGUAAUUUAGUAAUUGGCCGACAUCCCGUUAGUUAAUUUGAUUUUAGGGUAAUUUAAUUAAUGUUUCUCCGUAUAAAAUACGUUUAUAUAAAAUGUUUUCUUUUUCGUAUAGUAAAUACUUCCGAUUCAGAUUUGGACGCACCCCGCAGGUUCACCCGUAGGGCCACUGAGACUACGGACCAUUCAAGAUGAAACAAAAAGCGUUUCUGCUACCCUUCCCGGUGGUAAUCUGUGUGACCUGGCAACCGCACAGUCCUGCCCGGGUCUCCCCCAAUACAUAAGGUGCCCAUUUCGUCAACAUUUGAUUUUAACUUUUAUAAAAAAUAAAUAUAUUACGUAACACUGAAUUUUUUUUUUUUGGACCACUAAGUACGACUCAUAAUGUACCUCCUGUC